UAGUUAGUUUCAUCGAUAUUUUUGUGGUGUUC
rnacentral:sRNA from 1 species